UAGUCCCUGCAUUUUAAAAUUCUUUCAUUUUGCCACUGCACUUUCAUUUUACUUUAAAAAUGGUCUCUGAACCUAUUUUUUGUUGAAGUGACACAUUUUUUCAUGAUGUGUCAAUUUUAUUUUACUUUAAAAAAAUUACUUAUUUAAGGGUAUUUUGAUCGAUUCACUGCAAAAUUAAAUGAGUCAUCAACUCUAAAGUCCAGUCAACAGUGACAAAUCAGCAAAAAU
rnacentral:lncRNA from 1 species